GAACAUAAACCUCCCAAGGGCGGGAACAGGGCUGGUUGUUUUCCAUCGUAUCCCAGGGCCUGACUCCUGGUGUCGAAAAAGACCUGGACUUCUGUCUGCAGGACGUGGUCCCUCAACAAAUCCUCCUGGAAAUGGUAAAUUUCUGUACAGAUGUUACUGAUUACACGGGAGAGUGAACUUAGGAUCAUCUCCCCUAAACCUGUCCCCGGCUGACUCCCCUUUUCUAUGAAUGAUUCUGUGACAGGUCGUCCAUUGCUUUGAAAGACAACAUACCAGGAUGAUGAGGAGAUUUGAGCCAGAUGGGCCUUUGCUUCACCUUGGGUGUCAGCAGGCGACAUGCUCAGAUGGGCCCCGAGCCUUGGCCUGGGUCUCCGCCCACCCCCGCCCGGCUGCUGGGAGAAGGCACCUGCUCGCCCUCCGGUGACUCCCUCUCCUCUCCCCAUCGUUGUGUUCCAGCCCCUAAAUGCCCCUCCCUCCCUCCUCCAAGGAGAGCUUGGUGGAAAUGUGCAUGGGGGAAGGGGUCACAGAGGUGAGGCCUGUCCCCAAGGUCCCGGUCCCUGUAACCACCCCGAGCCGGAGCUUAUGGCCGGGAAGAACCCAGGAGAUGGAGGUGUCGAACUCCCAGCCAGGUGGUGUCUCCACCCCACGUGCCAUCCACCCGCCUCCUCUCCCGGGCCUCUUCCCGACCCUCUCUACCCAGGACCCUCUUCAUCCUCUCUUCCCUCCAGUUCUUGGACCUGUGGUCAGGGAGCUGGGCUGGCCCCAGCCUGGUGCAGGGGGUUAUUGAGAUGGGGAGGAGGGGGACCAGCCAGGAUUGCAGGGAAGUGAGCUCUUAGAGGCCCUGAGCAUCCCCUCACGCCCCCCACCCCCGACCCCGCUCCCACUGUAGGAACAAAGAUGCAGCUCAGAGAAAGACCCGGGCCAUCAGGUUCUAGUUAGUCAUGGGGGGCAGGGGGAGGCAGGCCCACA